UACGUAGGUGUCGAGCGUUGUCCGGAUUUAUUGGGCGUAAAGAGCCCGCAGGCGGCUUGGCAAGUUUGAGGUGAAAUCUCCCGGCUUAACUGGGAGGGGGCCUCGAAAACUGCCAGGCUUGAGGCAUGGAGAGGGAUGCGGAAUUCCCGGUGUAGUGGUGAAAUGCGUAGAUAUCGGGAAGAACACCCGUGGCGAAGGCGGCACUCUGGGACGGUACUGACGCUGAGACGCGAAAGCGUGGGGAGCGAACAGG
rnacentral:rRNA from 1 species